rnacentral:rRNA from 1 species
UACGGGGGGGGCAAGCGUUGUUCGGAAUUACUGGGCGUAAAGGGCGCGUAGGCGGUUGGAUAAGUCAGCUGUGAAAACCACGGGCUUAACUCGUGGCCUGCAGUUGAGACUGUCUGGCUUGAGUGUGGGAGAGGAGAGUGGAAUUCCUGGUGUAGCGGUGAAAUGCGUAGAUAUCUGGAGGAACACCGGUGGCGAAGGCGGCAUCCUGGACCAACACUGACGCUGAGGAGCGAAAGCCAGGGGAGCAAACGGG